rfam:Schistosoma mansoni strain Puerto Rico chromosome 4, complete genome
CAACUGCUGAGGAGUUCCACAAUAGGACGAAACGGCCGUCCAGUGC